rnacentral:misc_RNA from 1 species
UGAAACGAGUGCUUCCCGAUGCGCUGCAGUCCGAGUGCUCCAAAUGUUCUGAAACCCAGAAGAAGGGCAGCAAAAAGAUCAUCCGCCAUUUAAUUGACCACAAGGCUGAUUGGUACAAGGAGUUGGAAGCCAAAUACGACCCAAGUGGAUCCUACAACAAGAAAUACCAGGAAGAACUUAAAAGCCAUAAAUAGUAUGGUCUCGCUAGCAUACCACUGCUCGUCGUAUAUUCAGAUGUAAAGGCUCUCCAAAUGUAAGCCUUGUAAACACGAAACGUUUUAGUAUAAGCAACCUUUUGUCUCGUGCUGAGUGCCG